rnacentral:rRNA from 1 species
GAUGAACGCUGGCGGCGUGCCUAAUACAUGCAAGUCGAGCGAACAGACGAGGAGCUUGCUCCGCGGACGUUAGGGGCGGACGGGUGAGUAACACGUGUAUAACCUACCUAUAAGACGGAGAUAAUUUCGAGAAACCGGAGCUAAUACGGGAGAAGAUAUUGAAGCGCAUGGGUGAAUGGUAAAAUACGGUGGUGCGGUCACUUAUCGAGGGAUCUGGGCCGGUGUGGAUGGUUGGUAAGGUAAAGGGUUAUGAAGGUAACCAUGCGUAGCCGAACGGAGAGGGUGGUCGGCCACACUGGAACUGAGCCGCGGUCAUGGGGACUGAGGGAGGCAGCAGUAGGGAAUCUUACGCAAUGGGCGAAAGCAUUGCGGAGCAACGCGAAGUGAGUGAUGAAAAUCUCCGGAUCGUAAAGCUCUGUUAUUAGGGAAGAACCAAUGUGUACGUAACUAUGCAGGUAUUGACGGUAAUUAGUCAGAAAGCCCCGGCUAACUACGUG